rnacentral:rRNA from 1 species
UACGUAGGCAGCGAGCGUUGUUCGGAGUUACUGGGCGUAAAGAGUGCGUAGGCGGUUUUCUAAGUUUGGUGUGAAAUCUCCCGGCUUAACUGGGAGGGUGCGCCGAAAACUGGAAGGCUUGAGUAUGGGAGAGGUAAGCGGAAUUCCUGGUGUAGCGGUGAAAUGCGUAGAUAUCAGGAGGAACACCCGUGGCGAAGGCGGCACUCUGGGCCAACCCUGACGCUGAGAGGCGAAAGCGUGGGGAGCGAACGGG